rnacentral:rRNA from 1 species
UACGUAGGGGGCAAGCGUUGUCCGGAUUUAUUGGGCGUAAAGAGCGCGUAGGCGGCCGUUCACGUCGGAUGUAAAAGCUCAAAGCUCAACUUUGAGAUGCCAUUCGAUACGGGACGGCUUGAGGCAGCUAGGGGAGAGUGGAAUUCCUGGUGUAGCGGUGAAAUGCGCAGAUAUCAGGAGGAACACCGGUGGCGAAGGCGGCUCUCUGGGGCUGAUCUGACGCUGAGGCGCGAAAGCUGGGGUAGCGAACAGGAUUAGAAACCCCAGUAGU